rnacentral:rRNA from 1 species
CAAUAGCGUAUAUUAUUGAUGUUGCAGUUGAAACGUUCGUAGUCGGAAUUUGUCUGCCAAGGUGCUUUUGCGUCUAAGACGUGGCAGUGCUGUCGGCAGAGACUGCAGCCUGGGUGUGCGUUUCGCGUGCUUUUGCUGCGCGUUACUUUGAGUGAAUCGGCGUGUUCCACGCAGGCGUUGGCCUUGAACGAUUUACCAUAGUAUAGGUAGAGUAUGGGGGUAUUCUUUUGUGUGUUUGGGAAUACUUUCGAAAGGGAAAAGAACGGUCGAGGGCAUUCGUAUUCAACUGCUAGAGGUGAAAUUCUUUGAUUAGUUGAGGACGAACCAUUGCGAAAGCAUCUGCCAAGUACGUUUCUUUUGA